GCCCUCGUAGCUCAAGCGGUAGAGCAGCCGCCUCGUAAGCGGCCGGUCGCAGGUUCGACUCCUGCUGAGGGCU
rnacentral:tRNA from 1 species